ACCUGGAAUAGCUCAGUCGGUAAUGCAUGAGAUGCCUAAUCUCAGCAUCAUGGGUUCGAACCCCACAUUGGGGCA